rnacentral:rRNA from 1 species
UGGGAUACCACCCUUGUAGUACUGGGACUCUAACCAUAGGCCAUGAAUCUGGUCUUGGGACACUGUCAGGUGGGCAGUUUGACUGGGGCGGUCGCCUCCCAAAAGGUAACGGAGGCGCUCAAAGGUUCUCUCAGUACGGUCGGAAAUCGUACGUAGAGUGUAAAGGCAAAAGAGAGCUUGAUUGCAAGACAUACAGGUCGAGCAAGGAUGAAAAUCGGACUUAGUGAUCCGGUGGUUCUGCGUGGAAGGGCCAUCGCUCAACGGAUAAAAGCUACCCUGGGGAUAACAGGCUUAUCUCCCCCAAGAGUCCACAUCGACGGGGAGGUUUGGCACCUCGAUGUCGGCUCAUCACAUCCUGGGGCUGUAGUAGGUCCCAAGGGUUGGGCUGUUCGCCCAUUAAAGUGGUACGCGAGCUGGGUUCAGAACGUCGUGAGACAGUUCGGUCCCUAUCCGUCGCAGGCGUAGGAAAUUUGAGAAGACCUGUCCUUAGUACGAGAGGACCGGGAUGGACGUACCUCUGGUGUACCAGUUGUUCUGCCAAGGGCAUGGCUGGGUAGCUA